GAUGAACGCUGGCGGCGUGCCUAAUACAUGCAAGUCGAGCGAACAGACGAGGAGCUUGCUCCUCUGACGUUAGCGGCGGACGGGUGAGUAACACGUGGAUAACCUACCUAUAAGACUGGGAUAACUUCGGGAAACCGGAGCUAAUACCGGAUAAUAUAUUGAACCGCAUGGUUCAAUAGUGAAAGACGGUUUUGCUGUCACUUUUGAUGGAUCCGCGCCGCAUUAGCUAGUUGGUAAGGUAACGGCUUACCAAGGCGACGAUGCGUAGCCGACCUGAGAGGGUGAUCGGCCACACUGGAACUGAGACACGGUCCAGACUCCUACGGGAGGCAGCAGUAGGGAAUCUUCCGCAAUGGGCGAAAGCCUGACGGAGCAACGCCGCGUGAGUGAUGAAGGUCUUCGGAUCGUAAAACUCUGUUAUUAGGGAAGAACAAAUGUGUAAGUAACUAUGCACGUCUUGACGGUACCUAAUCAGAAAGCCACGGCUAACUACGUG
rnacentral:rRNA from 1 species